GUAGUCCACGCAGUAAACGAUGAUUACUAGCUGUUUGCGAUACAAUGUAAGCGGCUGAGCGAAAGCGUUAAGUAAUCCACCUGGGGAGUACGUUCGCAAGAAUGAAACUCAAAGGAAUUGACGGGGGCCCGCACAAGCGGAGGAACAUGUGGUUUAAUUCGAUGAUACGCGAGGAACCUUACCCGGGCUUGAAAUGCAUCUGACCGGCCUUGAAAGAGGCUUUCCCUUCGGGGCAGAUGUGUAGGUGCUGCAUGGUUGUCGUCAGCUCGUGCCGUGAGGUGUCGGCUUAAGUGCCAUAACGAGCGCAACCCUCAUCAUUAGUUACCAUCAGGUCAAGCUGGGGACUCUAAUGAGACUGCCAUCGUAAGAUGUGAGGAAGGUGGGGAUGACGUCAAAUCAGCACGGCCCUUACGUCCGGGGCGACACACGUGUUACAAUGGGUGGUACAAAGGGCAGCUACAUGGCGACAUGAUGCUAAUCUCCAAAACCACUCUCAGUUCGGAUCGGAGUCUGCAACUCGACUCCGUGAAGCUGGAUUCGCUAGUAAUCGCGCAUCAGCCACGGCGCGGUGAAUACGUUCCCGGGCCUUGUACACACCGCCCGUCAAGCCAUGGAAGCUGGGGGUACCUGAAGUUCGUAACCGUUAAGGAGCGACCUAGGGUAAAACUAGUGACUGGGGCUAAGUCGUAACAAGGUAACC
rnacentral:rRNA from 1 species